GUAUUUUUCGGUCUCUCGGCAUUAGCAAACUGAAAUUUCAGCCAAGGAAACUAGCUUCUUCUUUUUUUUUCCAUUUAUUCACGUCAGUUUCAGCUUCUGAAUUCCCUUUUACACGCGAAAUGAACAACAAAAACCUACAGAAGCGCACAAAAACCCCUUCAGUAAUCUGACAAAACCUCAAGAAUGAUUCCUGCCAGGAAAGAAGCAGACACACACUCCUCUCAGCAUAAUUCAUGAGUCCCACCAAUUUAAGCUCAACAAAAGCAGCCGCGAGCACAUACUCACGUCGAUCGGUCACUCAAAACCGCAAAAAUUCCAGAUCGCGUGAGGAUCGGGACCAAGGAAUCGCCUGGAUGUGGAUGAACGCCACCGCCGCGGCGAGGCGGAGGAACCACCGGAAGUCGCAGAGGAACUUGCUCGCCAUCGUCUCUCCGGAGCCGGCGGGGGGAAUCGCCGUAGCAGCUGAAGCUCACGGGGCGAAGGCGUCGCGAGCACCGAACAUGGCCGAGCUAGCGAGGGGAGCUUGAGGAUUUUUGAGCAGGCUUUGAUGGCGAAGCGUCGAAGGUGGGGUGUUUUGUUCUCCUUGAAGCGACGACGAAGACGACGACCGCGACGACGACGACCGGCGAGUCAACAAAGCCGAGCCGAGGCGGGAGACCGGCUUCCGGAGCCGGACGAUCGACGCCAGCCGACCGAAGCCUGUUUGGAGACGAGGCUUUUGCUAUUCUUCGUCGGGAUAGCCCAGUUCCGAGCUCUCGAGUCCGAUAGGGCGUCAAUCCUAAUCCAAUUCGAGAACUGGACGGCAGUAACUAUUUCUGGGUAGUUCCCAAAUGACCGGUUUAGUUCCCAAUUCCAC
rnacentral:lncRNA from 1 species